CCGGAGCCCCUCGGGGCCUCGCGGUCACUGUGCCGAAGUCCUCCGUGUCAGGGAAGGCGACCGUGGCGCCGCCCAGCCUAGCGUGCUGCGUCACGCUCCUCACAGGCCUGGGCCAUGCUUUUGUGGGCGCUCCGCUGUGGUGCUGCGUGCGGGGGCCACGGCCAUGCUUUUGUGGGCGCUCCGCUGUGGUGCUGCGUGCGGGGGGCCACGGCCAUGCUUUUGUGGGCGCUCCGCUGUGGUGCUGCGUGCGGGGGGCCACGCUCUCGCGCGGCCGCGCCCCGGGCCCGUGUCCCCGCGGCUGGCCCCCGGCCUGGGCUGUUGCGGUGGAGGGUGUUACUGCACAGCUGAGGUAGGUCACCGCAAAGUAGUAGCGAGCAAAGACGCAGGGGCACGAACCCGGCAGCCACUGAGCCCUCCUCGCUAGGCCAGGGACCCCGGGACAGCCCGUCCCACGAAAGGGGAGAGCAGCCGGCGCUCGUUCUUCUCAAGCAGGGUACCACGGAGGGCAAGGAGUCACACAUGCUGUAGCAAUACCUCAAACCCUCCACGGACUUCCGAAAAUGUAUUAACAUAGCCAGCUACCCUGUGAGUGAGGACCACAAAGUGAAGAUGGCUGUGGCAGGAGCUCCGCUUCUGAGACCGGACCACGGGCCUUCCCUCGACCCCGCGGCUUCCAGCUGCGCCAGCGGCUGCAGCAAGGACCUGGAAUAUAAUUUUAAAGGCCUCUGAAGAUGCUUUGAGGAAUGUGUUGAGCAAUAAGGUUUUUUCUGGGUGUGUUUCACCGAGAGAUCCAGUUACUCUUGCCGUGGAGCAGCUCUGGCGUCCCGUGUUGUUGCUCGCAAACAUGGCAUCUGAAAGGACGGACGCACUCAGCACAACCCUUCCCAUGGACGGUGCCUCAGGGAUGCCUGGGUCCUGGGGGACCUGGGGUGUCAGCCUCCCUGCUCCUGGAUGUGUAGCUAUUACAUUUCUACCACAUUUACUGCUCAAGCACAAAGCUCCAGAGAUCUUAACAAGCGUGAAUUAAAUUAAAUUACAGCCCUUCUUAACUGGCAGGGUGCACUCAGGCCUCUCAGUAAAAUGACUGCCCUUUUACUAAAUGCUUUUCCCUAACCCUCCUGCUUUAAUUACGCCUGUUCUCCCCGAGGAGCCAUCGCCAGUGAGACCAUAGCAACCUUCAGAUAUUUACAAGUGAUGUUUGCAGAUACAAUAAAGCUUCUGGAGCAGCCAGCUGAAUAAAGACACAGCCAAUUGCUACUCUGAGUGCGAUGUGAGUCCCUGAAGAUGCUGAGAGGAAAAUCAACACAGAGGAGACUAGGAGAACCUGCAGUAAGCCGCAGCCCGAGGUCGGCCCAAGGCCAAGAGCUGUGUUCAUAGCAGUUCUAUUGGUAAUAGCCAGAAGCCGGAUGCCCCUUAACUGAGGAAUGGAUACAGAAAUGGUGGUACAUCUACACAAUGGAAUACUACUCAGCUAUUAAAAACAAGGAAAUCAUGAAAUUUGCAGGCAAAUGAUGGGAAUUAAAAAAGAUCAUCCUGGGUGAGCUAUCCCAGAAACAGAAAGACACACACGGUAUAUACUAGAUGUAUAAUAUAGGAUAAACAUGCUAAAAUCUAUACACCUAAAGAAGCUAAGCAAGAAGGAGAACCCUGGUUAAGAUGUUCAAUCUUCAGUCAGAAAGGCAAAUGGGACAGACAUCAGAAGGUGAAAAUAAGGAACAAGACAGGAGCCUACCACAGAGGGCCUCUGAAAGACUCUACCCAGCAGGGUAUCAAAGCAGAUGCUGAGACUCACAGCCAAACUUUGGGCAGAGUGCAGGGAAUCUUAUGAAAGAAGGGGGAGAUAGAAGUACCUGGAGAGGACAGGAGCUCCACAAGGGGAGCAACAGAACCAAGAAAUCUGGGCACAGGGGUCUUUUCUGAGACUGAUACUCCAACCAAGGACCAUGCAUGGAGAUAACCUAGAACCCCUGCACAAAUGUAGCCCAUGGCAGCUCAGUGUCCAGAUCCCCCAGCCUCUGUCCACAGAACACUGGGUUAAAAGUUGUGUUCCACCACACCCGUGUCACAGUCCAUCUCUUUAAAUCAUGUGAGACUGCAGCUGCUGUGUCCUGCCUAGCUUGUGUACAGAUCUCUGUCAGUUUGUUUAUACUGUGGAUCAUAUCAGUGGAUUUUUCUCUGAGAUGAAGCCUACUGGAUCACAGUGGAUGGGUAACCAAGUAAAUUAUGACAAACACAAGGAACAGCAGAGUGGGCAGACCCCGAUGCGUGUUAGCCCAUUAAACCACCGACUCUGGAGAACAGUGCUUCACAGAAAAGGGACUGUGAAGUCAUCUGACCCACCCCCAUCAGAAGCAGGUUCAAGGCCAGAGCACUGGUUGCCAAGUUGCCCUUUGGCUUCCAGCUCUGGCUUUUGAUGUCCUGAAGAUCCUAUCUGAGCUGGACCUGCUUCUAAACGGGGAAGCGAUUUCACAGUUGGAGCGCUAGCUUUUCCUUGAGGCUCUCGUUGCUCUACGCAGUCUGCUUGCAUGUAAUUGUUUGGAUCUCCUGUGACAGACAUUGUCCUCAUCAGAAGUUGUUCCCAGCGAACUGGCUAAGAGUGAAAACUCACACACACGCGCUGCUCAAGAGCUCAAGCCCUUCCUAAAUGCAGAAUUGUCUAUAGCAAAUGUCACAAUACACACAGCGCUCGGGCCACUGGGAAACAAGCCAAAACUGUGCGCCAGUGAUUUCUCUAUUAUUUCCUAAUUAAUCUCUGAGUCAGAACAGGCAGCCAGAGGGAGUGCUGAAAGAUGCCAGAGCUUCCCAAGUGUCCCUACAGUCAUCACCAUUUGAAGAGCAAAAUUAAAAUGUUGAAGUAUCCAUUACAUGGAGCCUCUUUCUUCAGCUCUCUUCUUGUGUGAAAGGUUUGAAUUCAUGACAUUCUUCAUGAGCUGUUACCAAAACAAAGCUGCUGUGUGUUCCUAAAGCACAGGGGAAAAUACUGUGCUGAGGGUCUUGAAAUGUGUGACAUAAUUACUCCCUUACAUGACAAUGAGCAGAUCACAUCCCUGUGUGUAAAAGUACAAACAAUGUCACCCCAAGGGUCAUUUCUCCUUCUCGUACUGAAAAGGCUCAGAUACUAUUUUAAGUGAGGUCUGUAGAAAAAUACUUUUCUUUUGUGUAUCCUUUGCCAGCACACAUUGAGCCUGAUCCAGAGGGAAACCAAAUAGGAGAAUGGGCUUCCUGUGACACUCUAGCCGUCCAAGUUUGGUCUUGCCAGCCUCAUUUAUGAAGUGAGGUUCUGGGAAACAGUUUGAUGCAGGGAGGGAGGGGAUCAACAGAUGAUAAGCUGCUUCCCCACGACACUUAGCUUCCAGAGCACAGCCCCAUCUCUCGUUUGUUCCACAGCCUUUUCCUUUCCAGAUCCUCAACAUGUUGGUCUUACACCUCCUUUCCCUGAGUCCCUAAGGGGCCCCUCAGCAAUCCCCUCCUCAGAAAAUUUGCUGUUUCAAUAGUGGCCUCAGUUGCAGUCAACUGUACAUAGUUGAAUAGUCAAUCCAGGACUAAAAUUACAAUUACAAACCCAGCUGCACUUGAAAGACAAACUGUAAAUCUUCUUUUCUGUCCCUCUUCCCUGUCCCCUCUGCAGACGAUCUGUCUGAGAAACCAUCUUCCCUUCCUGUCACUUGCCCUAACCCUUCCAGCCUGAGUCCUUCCCUGUGUCUGUCACUGUACCUACCUCUGCGCUGUCCUCCAGUCCCGUUCCAGCCGCCUUCUGCCACUUGCUGUUCAUACGGAAGAGGUAACGUCACACAUCAUCUGCCAGAAUUCCCUAGUGCUCCAACAUUUCAAGGAGGGUUUGCCCACACCAGGCCUUAAGUCCACCCCUGAAAUCAUUAGAUGCGGAAUUUAAUCUGCUUCUCCCGUCACACACCAGCACCAAGCGGAGUCUUUACUCACGAGUUACUUUUACCCUCUUGGUCGUUAUCUUACUAGAAAAUAAAGAACAGGACGGGGGAGAGGAAAGAGGAGAGGAGGAAAAUGGAGUUGCUGUUUCUCAGGUGUGAUGACAUUAAAAGAAGCUGAAUGCACAAAUUUUCCUUGACCAGGAUCCCUUGGGGGUCAAUAAAGAGCAGGCCCCAUGGAUGAAGUGCUUGUGUGUAAGGAUGAGGAUCUGCGUUCAGACCCCAGCAUCCAUGUGAGAAUUGGACCUCACAGCUCGCAGGUAUGAUCUUGGUGCAGGCGGAGAGGUAGCCCAGGCUGACCCUGGGUCUCUCUGACCAGCCAGUCCACCUGAAGUAGUGAGCUCCCGGUUUCCUGAGAUUCCCUGUCUCAAAAAAUCAGGCAGAGAGCAACAGAACACGCCUGACAUCAGCCUGUGGCUCAUGCGUGCACACACAUGAAUGCAGCCUCCCACUGAAUAAAUAAACAUUUUCUUCAUCAUGGUUUCAUGGGCCAGACCUCAGGCAAUGUCUUCUAUGAGGAUGAGGUUGGGACAUGACCGGCUCUGAGGCCAAAGGCCGUGUCUUCCGGAGCACCGCUCAGAAGUGAGCCUAAAACUGCAGGGAAGGGAGCGACUGGCCUUGGUGCUGGCCAGGAAGAUGGAGUCGGCAAAGCUCCUGGGUUGUGGGCAGAAAAUGUCUCCGGUGGCGUGGGGAGCUGCUGCCCCCUCAGCGUGGCUGGACUAAGAACGCAGCCAUCAGUCUUCCUCUUCUGAUUUGAUCCGUUCGAUUUGAAAGAAGCCAUUCAUCCUGUCGUCACAGCUCUUAAGACGUGGCCCAGCGACAGCAGAGGCCCCUGGGAGGGUAGUCUCAGCCCUGUGUGAGCGCCUCCGAAGACUGUCCCGUCUGGUGAGAUCACAGAUCUGUGACAGUGGCUCCAGGUCACUGUACCGCCCGCUGACGUCACAGCCUUCUGAGCCAAGCACGCCCACAUUGUCCACACAAGGGCAGUCUCUAAGGACGCAGCCAGGGGUGGGCCUGGUGUUAGUAAUAAAGGGCUCUAUUUAAAAAGACGGCUAUCAGGCAAGUGUUACCAUCCCUGUGCACUCACACAGGCGUGCACACACACACACACACACACACACACACACACACACGCAUGCACGCACACAGAAAAUGCCAACGUAUAGGUGCAUACACACAUGCAGAUAAAUGCACACAUUUCUACAUGCAUGCACACUCAAACACGCCCUUGUGCACACAUGCAGGAAAAACUCCACUUUCCACCUAAAAGUUGCACACUGGACUAGAGAUCACAUGACAGCUUGCUAGCUUUGCAGACAGACUCUUGGACCCCUAGGGCUGCAGGCACAGAAUCUGCAUGGAAGCCCAAAGGAACUGUCUGAGAAGAGCUCGCCCUCGGAAGGAGCAGCUGCAGAGCAGUGUGCGGGCGUCUCUCUAAGGCAGAGGCAUGUAAGGGAGGAAAACCAUCGCCAUUCUGAAAGUCAAAGAUGGUGGUGUUCCCAGCCUCAGGGUGCGCGGGCUGAGGCCCAGCAGGCCCUUUGAGGGCACUGUGUCCAGCACAGUCUCACCCACCUUGUGAGCUGUGGCUGCCAAGGCUAUCCCAGAUGAAGGCUUGCAGUUAUGUAUGAGCUUAUUCUGUUGGCCCUGCUGGCGCGGAGGCCAAGCACUGGCCCUGUGUCCAAAGAGAACAAGGACAGUUUGGGUGUGGGCCUGGGCCUGGGCUGUACUCCUCCCUCAGAGACUCUACAGCUCACAGCACCGAGGUUGGCUUUGGCCGACUGGCCCAGAUAAUGGCCCCGAGCUGCUAUAGAGGUCGCCAUUCUGUCUGAGUGAUGUCAAUCUUGAAUGUGACAUAUCCUUCCCAAGCUCGUGUGUUUGAGCAUUUGGUCUCCAAGUGGCACUUGGAAACCAACUGGGGUAGUUGUGGAGCCUUUGGGCAACAAGCCUGAUGGACAAAGGACCCUAGAGGACAGGCCUCUGUGUUUAUAGUCUGCCUUGUUUCCUGUCCAUCUCCACUUCCCGAACCGUCAAGAUGUGAUGAGCCCAGCCACCCACACCUGCCACCAUGGACUCUGCCCAGCCUUCCUGGCCACCAUGGACUCCACCCAGCCUUCCUGGCCACCACAGACUCCGCCCAGCCUUCCUGGCCACCAUGGACUCUGCCUUCAAAUCAUGAGCCUGAAGAAAUCCUCCCCCACCUAUAUCCCUUUUGUCAGGAAUUUUUGCCAAGGCAGUGAGAAAGGUAACUGACCCGCUGGGCGCCGUAAGGAGAGGCCCUGUGACUUCAGAGAAGCCUGGCUGGUCCUCUGGACAUCUCUGCAGCACCCGUGUGUGCAGAGACCUACGGGCUUGCAUGCUUGGCAGCCUCUCCCUCUGAGGUACCCUCUGAGGAGCUUCCUCGUAGCCACACUCUUCCUCACAGCCACACUCCUCUGAGGAAGGAGAGGGCCCCACAUGACUGACACGCUGCUGUUUGUAAAGCAAGUGUGAGGUGUCUUCUUUGUCACCUACGCCACACAGCUACUUACAGACAGCUGAAGAGCGUGUUCAGGGAGAGUGUCCUCAGACCACACAGCCAAACCCACCUCACAGUACCCGGCCUGAUAUGCUGCUUUCCUAAAUAGGUAGACACACGUGUAAUUUCAUGUCUUCAAACAUAAACGUUGCUCCCUAGUUGCUAAUUAAAAUAAUAAUGUACAAUUUAGGGUAAAAUGGAAAUAAAUGGCACUUGGUGUCUUUUUCACUAAAUAGUUCUCAAUUGCUGUUUAACCUAAUGGUUCUAUUUCCAUAGAAACAAAACUCAGCACAGGCUCUCUGUAAAGUCAAACCAGCCUUCCAGAGAUACAGACUGGAGCAUCGCUUGGAAACUGAGGCCAUCUGCCAGCCUGCUUUCCAGGUGCCCUCAGCACCCUGCCUGGCUCUGCCCAGAAGUGUGCUCUCCUUUCUCUGUGACCAGCGGGGAGGGGGCAGACUGGUGUGGCCCAGAGCCUUCUUUCUCAGAGCCUGGAGCACUCACAACCCACAAGAAGCUCUGAUGACCGAUGCCAGGAGAAGGCCCUUCUGAAACAGCCCAACAGUGAGAAUGUCACCUUCACCCUGAGUCAGGCAGCCGAGGCUCCCAGGGCAGCCUCGGGCCUCCAUGCCAUCCCUCCCCCAAGAGCCUGAGCACUCUGAGGGGCUCCUUGGCUGAGUCCUCCACCAGCUUCAGCAGAUGUCUACAAACACCCCUUGCUUUCACAUCCCCGUGGUCCUACUCUUAACGAAAGGAGAUGAACUGUUCCCCUCAGCACAUUGCAGGCGCGCCCACCUCAGCCUACACAGGGGCUCUUCCACACGAUGACAAAGCCUGUUUGUACGAAGACACUCCGCUGGCAGCGAAUGCAGACAUGGCAAAUUAGAGGGAAAUGUUUCUGUGUGUGAUUUAUGUGAUUUCAACAUAAUUAUUCGCUUGUAAAACACAUGAGAGGAAGGAAAAGGCACAGGGGUAUUUUCAAGAUCAGAGGAGUGAAAUCAGAGGCGGGAUUGGAUUGUCCAGCCUGAAGAUGAAAGCGCUUUACUGCCUGGGUUCAAAGUCUGGCUUUGCCUCAGUGUGCUGGCAACUGAGCAAACUACUUAUCAGUGCCUUGGUUUCCCCAUCAGGUUCAUAAAAGAACCUGCUUAUUAAUGGUGUUGUGGAGGAAGGACAAGUUACGAUGCACAGAAAACUCUAGAAAGACCUGGCACAUGGCAGCACCACAGCCAAUGCAUGGUGGGAACUUCUGGAAAUGUCUCAGGAGAGCGACAGAGCAGAGGGGAGUCAUCCGACCACCAGCCAGAGCUACAGCCGUCCACGCGCCAGAAGCCAUCAGCAUCCUUUCAGUCCUCCAACCACCUGCACGAGGUUGGCUGGGCCACGGAAAAGCCGGGCAGAGCAUGCAGCCAGGGAAAGGCGCUCCUGGCAGAACACAGGUCACCUUCCAAGAAAGCUAACAGGUUGCCGGAAUGUCCUUCUGGCUCUGGAAAUCCUAAGCUGGCUGAGGAAGUGGAGGUGCCAGGCCCCUGUGGCUGCACACUCCUUUCCCUUCAGAGUUAGGACCCGCUUGGCCCACGCUGAGCAGCAGUCUUGGGAAGGAUCACGAUCCUCGCAGCCCCUCAGCACCACCAGGCUCUGUGGACUAGACCCAAGGCCUCGCCUUAGUGACUGGGAUUGUUAAGGCUGGUGAGAACACACUUGUUUGGGGGUGACUAAGCGCCUGGUUGAUUCUGAGACUUACUUCUGACCUAACAAAGACUACAUGAGGCGGAAGCAGGAACAGGAGCCGGAGGAAGUCAGAGCCCCGGCAGGGCCGACAGCGCCAUGCCUGACAACUGGUCCAGCUGGGGUUGGAGCCGAGGCUUUGACUGCUUCGUGAGGACCCAUUCUCGUGUAAACCAUACCCAGAGUACCAUAGUUUGGGCUUCAGACCCAUUGCAGUUGGUGGAGUGUUUGCCCUGGCACGUGUGAGAUGUUCCCCUCCUCCCCACCCCCCCCCCCCACCCCCCGCAUAAACCAUGCACACAAGCCUCAGCGUUCAGGAAAGGCAAGGUCCUGUUCAUCUGCACAGGAGUUCCAGGCCAGCCUGGGCUACAUGACAACCUGUGAGAGAGAGACAGAGACACAGAGAGACAGAGACACAGAGACACAGACAGGGACAGAGAGAGACAGAGAGACAAAGACAGAGAGAGAGACAGCCAAGUCCCUAAGAGCACAGGCAAAGGGCUGCUCCCCAUUUGGACACUGCUUUGUCACUGCGCAGAGCAGCACCUGCCUUUCAAGCCACCUGGACAAAGGUCGCCGUAGGAGCAGGUGUCUGUCCAGCCAGGCUAACUCCGGCGUCCUGGGUGGGCCGGGCCCCACAGCUUUGGACUUGAACACCCGGUAUUUUCAGCUGUUUGGGCUUCGAAAGUGUGUCUGGCCUGCCUUCUUGCACCCGCACUCAAAGCCCCAUGUGUUCAAGGGAAAUGCAAUCCACAUGUCUCUGACACGCUUACGCUGGGCAUCCGGGUUCUUCAGCCGUUCCUUCAAUGGACCCUUUUAAGAGCGGCCCCCCCGAAACAGGAAGGCUUGUGUGUGCCAAAAGUUAAAACGAACUUGAACCUCAAAGGCAAAUGAAAAAGGGGGGGAUUUGGCAUCAUCUCUGGAGCUCUGGAGUGCCCAGUGCACAGGGCUCCGAGGGUUCUCCUGGCAAGUCCUGCCACGCUCCUCACACAAGGGAGGAGGGAAGCGCUCUGGGCACACCCACCUCUACACAAGGUGAGCUGUGAAACACAAGCAUCGGGAGCCACGCUGGGUGCCCGGGAGGCCCUGGGUGCUGUGGUAGGACCUCAAAAUCUGCAGCAGGGCCCAGCCAGGCCUCAGGAUUGCUCUGCCAGUUACAGCCCCAGGAUGCCUGGGUCCUGUCUGCUGACUUGAUGUUCGGCCCCCGCGGGGGGCGGGCUCGGGCCCUGCCGAAAUCCCCCUGCUCAGGGUCUCCAGCCCAUUAGAGAUGGUGAGUGGCCCGAGCUCUUUUGGCACAGCGGCCCCUCCGCCACGUCUGUACUUUAAGAAUCUCGUAAAACUCUUCCUGCUUUUCUUGACACGAUUCUCUACUCAUGGCAGGGAAGUGCUCUCCGCAGUGGUGUGAGACCGGGGCACGCUAGCUGCUGCCCCCUCAGGCCCACGUUUGUCCAUCUGAGCACUCUUCUGGAGGCUGCUUCCACAGACACGCCCUGACACACACCCUCGUCGUUGAGCUGCGGUAGCUCAGCUGCUCGCUGCCCAGGCUGAGGGUCGAGUGUCCGCAUGGGCACACCCGGGACGCCAGCUCAGACGAGCAGAGGCCUGGGGCUCACUGCCCAGCCUGCCCUAAGCGGUGAGAGUCGGGCCAAGGAGAGACACGCAACAUGAGGGAUAUCACAGAAACAAGGAAAGUUGGCCUUUACAGGAGUUCCUGCAUGCUCGAGUGCGUGCGUGUGUGUGUGUGUGUGUGUGUGUGUGUGUGUGUGUGUGUGUGUGUGUUUGAAGAGCAGAGACGUGAGGCCUGGACUGAGGAAACUGAGUGCUGGCCUCAAGGGCCCCACCCGGCACCAUCCACCCCUGAAGGCCCAGGGACUCUUCUGUCUUUAGGACACACUGGUGUGUGCCCAUGUGAGGGGAAGCUUCCGGGUCCUGUCCUCACGCUGUCCUACCUGUGACUCGGUACUAUGAGUCAGUACAUGUGUGGUCAGUACAUGUGUGGUCAGUGCACGUGUGUGGUCAGUACACAGCGCGUCUCUGCCCCUCAGCAUGAAGGCCUUCCUGCUCACUGCUGCAUUGUCACACCCGGCCUGGGAGAUGGUGACACCAGAGCUCACACCAGUUCUUGUGCUUCAGGCUUUAGAACUGAACACACUGCGAAGAUCUCUAGGGCCACAGGACUCUGAGUCCUCCUCCUUUGGGGUGUGCCUGGUGACUCCACACAAGCAUCACUCUCACACACAGCCAGGCACCUGGGCAGUCCCCUCAGCCUGGGGCACCCUGGCUGGAGUCAGGGAAGGUGUGGGCUCCUGUGUCCUCCCCACGCUCAGGCCCAUGGCUGCCCAGGGGCAGGAAAGGCCAGCUGGCCCCUGAGACCCUGUGUUCCUUGGCUGCAUUUAGGAAAUCUGCCUGAGCAAUCAUUCAGGCCCUAUCACCACCACCCCCAGGGAAGGAUCAUCCAACCCAGCAGUGC